AUCCUUGUUUGUCGGCGCCCUGCCAGCACGGCGGACGAUGCCUGCUGGACUCGCGGGGAGACUACACGUGCGCCUGUACUCCUAGAUACCACGGAACUCAUUGUGAAUUAGAAGUUUCCUUGGACCCUGUCUGCGUGGCGGGUCCAUGCCGCAACAACGGAAGCUGCAGCGUGCCGCCCGGGGCAGACUCCUAUGUCUGCGCUUGCGUGCCUGGUUACACCGGACGUAACUGUGAGAUCGACAUCGAUGAAUGUGCGACUGCUGAGACUGCGUGUCUGCACGGCGGACGAUGCGUGGACGCCGUCAAUAACUACACCUGCGACUGUUCCAACACUGGCUACACGGGCGCCCGCUGCGAGACGAACAUUAACGAGUGCGAGAACGAGCGCGCCAUCUGCGGGCACGGCGCCUGCUACGACACGUACGGCGGCUACGUGUGCGCCUGCCAGCCCGG
rnacentral:lncRNA from 1 species